GCGCCAUUAGCUCAGAUGGCUAGAGCAUCGGACUCUUAAUCCGGGUGUCCAGGGUUCGAAUCCCUGAUGGCGCA
rnacentral:tRNA from 3 species